UACGUAGGGGGCUAGCGUUGUCCGGAAUUAUUGGGCGUAAAGAGCUCGUAGGCGGCCUGUUGCGUCCGCUGUGAAAGCCCGAGGCUCAACUUCGGGUCGGCCACUGAUACUGCUAGGCUUGAGUCGACUAGAGGCAGAUGGAAUUCCGGGUGUAGCGGUGGAAUGCGUAGAGAUCCGGAAGAACACCGGUGGCGAAGGCGGUCUGCUGGGGUCGAACUGACGCUGAGGCGCGAUAGCGUGGGGAGCAAACAGG
rnacentral:rRNA from 1 species